rnacentral:tRNA from 6 species
GGGGGAUUAGCUCAGUUGGGAGAGCGCCUGCCUUGCAAGCAGGAGGUCACGAGUUCGACUCUCGUAUUCUCCAC